rnacentral:lncRNA from 1 species
GUAGAGAGCGCUUCCCCCCGAAUGGGGCCCUAUGCGGCGUGAAUCCGAAUAUAAUCGGGCUCUAAUCAGAGUACCGGACACCGGGUGGGAAACCAAAAAAAAGAUGUCUCGUUCAACCUUAUCCUUUUCCUUUGUAAAAUCAAAGCUUGAAACAGCAAUCAACAUAAUACUAUAGUUGUUUGCACAAAUCAAACUACUCCAAAUAAUUAGUAAUUAGCAUCUAAGAACCAAUAUUCUUCGUAGGUGUGAUAAAUUCCCAUAAAAAAGUGUAACUUGUCAAAUGAGUCCAAACUUAAGUAGGUUAGGAUAUGAGGGCAUCACCAAUUGGCUUAAUUCGUGUCAUAACCCAAACUGAUGGGUUGCGACGAGCACCCGGUACCUUACUCAAUCGAGUACCAAUGUAACAUAUCUUUCUUAUUACAUCAUUAUAUACACAUGACAUACGGUCCUAAUAGGCCAACAUGAUUCUUUAUAAACUCGAAACAUAGGCCGACAAGGCCGUACAAUCUUUUAUGUACACGAUAUAUGUCUGCAAGCCUCUAAGAAUACAUAAAUAUCAUAAAGGUCGAGACAGAGUCCCGCCAUACCAAACAAUAUACAUCUAACUCAUACUAAUCAAACAAGCAACUCCGAAGCAAAUGGAGCGCACCAACAUCUUCCGCUGAGCUGAUAGCCUACAUAGAGGGCUCUCGACCUGUCUAUCGGGAUCUGCGGACAUGAAACGCAGCGUCCCCAGGCAAAAGGAACGUCAGUACGAAUAAUGUACUGAGUAUGUAAGGUACAUAAAUAAAUACAUAAGAGACAUGGAAGACAUAUAGAGUACAUGACUCAACAUGUAAGUCUGAAUAACUUUGUAAAUCAUAAAUUACUUUUAGCGUCAUGCGUAUGCGUAUGAAUGUCAUGUCAUGUCGUGCAUAGGUACAUAUUUCAUAACAUCAUCAGCCUCUGAGGGCAUCCCAUCAUAUCAUAUUAGCCACCGCGGGCAAAAUCAUCAUCGUAUACCAGCUGAUCAGGUGGUGGUGCAUAUAUAAUGCCAUAACCUUUCCCAUAUCCCAUAUACAUAUAUACAUACAUAUAUACGCGUAUAUAACGCCGUUUGAAUCAUAUUUACAUAUGUAUAUGCGUAUAUAACGUCGUUUGAAUCAUAUUUCAGCCACUGUGGGCAACAUCAUCAUCAUAUACCAGCUGAUCAGGUGGUGGUGCGUAUAUAAUGUCGUAACCUUUUCCCAUAUCCCAUAUACAUAUAUUUACAUAUAUACGUGUAUAUAACGCUAUCUGGUCAUGGGUCAAUGCACAUGAAUGCAAUACAUGAAAAGUACGUUAAUAAAAUCUUUCAGAAGGGUCAUAAGACCACUUUGCCUUUGAGUAAUAUCAUAAAGUAAUCUCUUUUCAACUUUCGUAUUUUUCUGAGACCCAUGAACAGAUGAUAAAAUAUUAUGACACAUGAAAAUUCAAGAACAUAGAUAUUUUUAAUACUUCUAUGAAUAUAGACAUUCAUAGAAUUUGUGCAUUUGCACGUUUCGUUCGUAUCAUAUGGAUCAUGCCAAAAGAAAAAAGGGAUAGCCUUAACAUACCCGGAGUAGGAAAAAAUCCGUGUGAUAUUCAGGAGAAAGAUUAUACCGUGCUCUCCAUAAGUGAAACACUAUUGACCGAUAAAAAGAAACAUUAAUUGACUCAAUGAUCUUCUACCCACGAUAGCUGGGCACCGUGAAUCAUCUCAUUUGAUCAAAAUCCAACUUAUAUCAUGAGUGAAAUGUGUGCUUCAUAUAAAGAUGUAAUCCAUUUCCAAAUAUUCCUUGAAACUUUAGCUUGUCACCUUGGAUAAACUUUUAGCAUGGAACGGAGCCUCAAAAGUUCAAUCUCAGUGUUUUCAUAUACUCCCGAUUCCUCUUGUGGUAGCAAAUUUUGUAAUCUUGAUUUAAAUGACCUAACAUUCUGGUUCCAUGUAUAUUCUGAAAGGGUUGAGUCCACAUAUAAGAGAAACACCAUUUAAUCAAAUGAAACCCAUGCCAUAUGGAACAAACUACAAAGUCUUUCUUCUUACAGCCUUAAAUACAUAAAUG